UGAAGACUAAAACAUAUUACUUUUCGGAUUUUUUGGGUUUUGUGUCUUUAUUUUUUUUCUAAGGAGGGAAAUCAGAGGUGUGGAGAAUCACAACAGUCCCCUUAUGUUCUCAGCUUUAAGAAGGGUUAGUUUUUCCAAAUCAGAGCCGUUCUCAGGCGGACACCGGGGAGGAGAAAGGCCUGCUUAUGUCGAGGGCGGCUCAGGGUCAGUUUGUGCCUCCCAGACUCGCAGCACAGGCUGGAGGAGAACGAGUGGGGGCUGGAAAGACCUGCGUGGCAUCGCCAUCGUGCUGUGCUGCAGGGAGAAGGGACUGGGCAGACCCCAGGCUCCCGUGCCCACCACCUCCUUCCCAUGCAAGGACAGAGCAUGCUCGGGAAUAACACAGCUGGGCACUCAGCUCCUGACCAGGGCCGAUGCGCACUGGAACCAAGCGAUCUGUCACUGUGCACCCAAGGGGAUGGGGGCAUCUUUAUGCUGGCACCACGAAUGACCAUGGCAAGGAGCAAGGAAGGAACAUACUUCCCAUGCUCGACAGUUACACUUUCCUCUGCUAGCUGUGGGGACACAGGAGUCUCUUCUGGUCUUUCCACUGAAACUAAGUCGGAAGUCACCAGCCCUCCUGGCAAGGAGCAGCGUCCCAGGCUCCCGGCUCUGAGGACAGGCUAGGUGGCGAGAUGCUGGCAGUCUUAGCCAUCUUGGGCCCCAGGUGUGCAUGCCUGGGGGAGGGCAGGCCCGCGGCUGGGACCUCAUGGUGAACAGCACAUUGGGUGGCACUGGGUGACCAAAGCUUGGUGCAGCCCACAGGCAGUGCACGGUGUGCAGGACUCCCACGGCACCAUAUCCAGGCCCACUCACAUGUGCUCACUACAGGCAGCAUUAGGAGCAGGAAGGGCAGGAGUCAGACGCCCACACAACCUCCAGUGUGGACGACACAGAUACCUACCUCUUUCCCACCCAGCCUGGGGUUCAGUUCUGAAAAUGUGUGUCUGCCCCACAACGUGCUUCACUGUUCAUGUGACUGGAUGCCC
rnacentral:lncRNA from 1 species